GUCGAGGGGCAGCGGGUUGAAAGCUUGCUUUCAAUGCCGGCGACCGGCGCACGGGUGCGUAACGCGUAUCAAACCUGCCUCAUACUCGGGGAUAGCCUUGCGAAAGUAAGAUUAAUACCCGAUGUUAUUAGUUCAUCGCAUGGUGGACUAAUCAAAGAUUUAUCGGUAUGAGAUGGUGAUGCGUCCGAUUAGGUAGUAGGCGGGGUAACGGCCCACCUAGCCUUCGAUCGGUAGGGGUUCUGAGAGGAAGGUCCCCCACACUGGAACUGAGACACGGUCCAGACUCCUACGGGAGGCAGCAGUGAGGAAUAUUGGUCAAUGGACGCAAGUCUGAACCAGCCAAGUAGCGUGCAGGAUGACGGCCCUCCGGGUUGUAAACUGCUUUUAGUUGGGAAUAAAAAAAGGGACGUGUCCCUUAUUGUAUGUACCUUCAGAAAAAGGACCGGCUAAUUCCGUGCCAGCAGCCGCGGUAAUACGGAAGGUCCAGGCGUUAUCCGGAUUUAUUGGGUUUAAAGGGAGCGUAGGCGGAUUGUUAAGUCAGCGGUUAAAGGGUGUGGCUCAACCAUACAUUGCCGUUGAAACUGGCGAUCUUGAGUGCAGACAGGGAUGCCGGAAUUCGUGGUGUAGCGGUGAAAUGCUUAGAUAUCACGAAGAACUCCGAUCGCGAAGGCAGGUGUCCGGGCUGCAACUGACGCUGAGGCUCGAAAGUGUGGGUAUCAAACAGGAUUAGAUACCCUGGUAGUCCACACAGUAAACGAUGUAUACUCGCGGUUUGCGAUAGACAGUAAGCCGCCAGCGAAAGCAUUAAGUAUACCACCUGGGGAGUACGCC
rnacentral:rRNA from 1 species